UCCAAUUAGUGCUGACCAUAUAUCAUAUAUGAAGAGAUGCAAGGCCAGCCACUAGGGAGUGGACAGCCUACCAGUAGCCACAUCCCCACAGAAAAGUGAUUUUCUCUCCUUGAGUAGCCAUCAACUGCCAGAAGUUCCUCAGCUAGGGGUGGGCCCUCCAGAUUCCUUCUUCCUGUUUUCUGUUUUCGUUUGGUUUUCUGGGUCCCUCCUCCUCCAUUAUUGUAGGAAAUCUGGUCACGAACCUUGAAUGAGUCUGAGGUCAUGUCCCAUAUUGCCAGACUGUCCCCACAGCCUUCUUGUUAUUAUUUGUCUGUCCUGUGUUGACUGUUUGUCCACUGGAGUCUGGUUAGAUAAGCUUUGACUUUAGUGUUCCCGUCUUUCCUCCUGGGUUCACAGAGGGCCCAUGAGUCAGAGCUACAGUAAAUGGUCAGUACACACGCACCACUCCAAGGUCCCGUUCAGGUGGACUUUAACCAGGUGACUGAUGGAAUCUUCUAUACCUCUUUGCUUCUCUACCUGUACGUUUCGUAAUGUAAUUCAUGACAAGUCACAGUCCCCAGUUUACCCUUGUCAAGGGCUCUAGUCCCUUUGUACCACCCCCAGGACCCCACUUAAGGGACAGCCACAUCUCAACGUAAUUGAGUGCUUGGUGUCUAAUCACGGUCUACGAACAAGACCAUCCAGUAAUAUGCCUGAAAUACUAAAAGACAAGAACAGCAUAGUUUUAUCCUCCUGUGGAAGGGUCUCUGGCUCGAGUGCCCCCUGGGAUUUGGUGUCUCGUUUAUGUUUGCUCUCUGGUAUCUUUCAGUACCAAAGCACCUGAAAGACUCAUCUGUGUACACCAUCACUGACAAGACUUAAAUGUCCUUGUCCCUAAACUUCACAGGCACAAGGCAGAAGGUGAAUGUCCAGUCAGUGGACCCUUGUCAGUUCCUUACUUCCUGUCCCUUGCUUCUCCCCCUGUGACGCCGUGCCUCCAGUCUGCCUGUCCCCUAAGGAGAGUUGGGCUGGGGUAGAAGAAGACUUGGAUGAAUCACGCAAGCACGCGAACCUUGGAAUGGAGAGCUGCUGCUGCCACCACCGCUGCCGCUGCUCAGGGAGUGCCUUUAACUCAGCUGCUUGCCAAGUUUGAGGUGUGGUGCUGAAUGAAACUGUGUGCCACACGCCCUGCCCUGAGAGCCCUGAGUCACGUGUUGACGGCUCACUCUCCCUAGUCCUAAUCCACUACACCCUCAAAACCAGCUUAGUCAGCAUGAAGUGCUUCUAACAGCAGCGGAGCAGAUGGAUCAGACACCUGCCAGCCUGCAGGUCCCUCAGGUCUGUCUGACGCUGGGUCUGUCUGGCUGUGGAUCUUGCCACACAUCUGGAACCAGAUGCUCAUGACUCCAGUCCAUGAGAUGCCCUCACUUGCACAUACCUCCUCGUUGAGUGAAAGCUCAGUCACGUUGGCCUUGAAGAUUGAUCAUCACAGUAGCAGUCAACCUACGCCAUUAGAGACAUUAGAAAGGAUCUUCCACAUCCUCAGAUGCCAACCUGAAAAUUAUACCCCAAAGUAUUCACACCACCUUUACUCUUGUUCUCCUAUCUUGGUGCAGAUUUAUUUCAUAGUUUAUUGUCUAAUCAGCUAAAACUCUUCCAAAUAUGUUUUUUUCUUCUAUAUUUCUAAUUCCAGAGUCACCAAUGUGCUCUCUUGAAUUUAAUUGUUCAGAAAAGCUGCAGCUGUGGGGUGACAGACGUUUUAGGAAUUAAGUAACUGUUUAGUUCAGAUUUUAACUUUCUACUUACUAUUUGAAGCAAUUCCUGCUUGUUUUAAGUAGUUUUUACAAGCAAAUGAUGCCCUUUGGUCUAGCCAUAGGUCCUGUGGCUUUGUUGGAAUAGUUAUGAUGGUCUUUUAUCCUUUGCCAUGUGCAGUAUCAGGGCAUGGAGGGAUAUGCUCGCUCAUUUUGGGUCAUCUUGAUACAAGAUACAGAUAUUUGGGAGGAAGGCACCUCAAUUGUGAAAACACUGCACCAGAUUUACCUGUGAGAAAACUGUGUGCAUUUUCUUGAUUGGUGAUUGGUUUGGAAGUGUCCAGCUCACUGCGGGCAGUGCCAACCCUAGGCAGGCAGUCCUAAGUUGUGUAAGAAAGCAGGCUGAGAAAGCCACAAGAAGCAAGUCAGUAAGCAGCAUUCCUCUAAGGCUUCUACUCCAGUUCCUGUCUUCAGGUUCCUGUCCUGAGUUCUCACCCUCAGCGAUAGAUUUAUAAGUGGUAAAAUGGGAAACAACAACAACAACAACAACCACCCCUUUCCUCCUCAAGUUGUUUCGGCCCUGGUGUUUCAUUAUAAGAAGAGAAAACCUAGGGCUGGAGAGAUGGCUCAGUGGUUAAGAACACUUCUGUUCUUCCAGAGGUAUUGAGUUCAAUUCCCAGCAAGACGGUGACUCACAACCAUCUGUAAUGGGAUCUGAUGCCCUCUUCUGGUGUGUCUGAAGAGAGCUACAGUGUACUUAUAUAUAAUAAAUAAAUCUUU